GCUGGGCGUGGUGGUGCAUGCCUGUAAUCCCAGCAACUCUGGAGGCUGAGGAAGGAAGAUCGUAAAUCAAGGCCAGCCUCUC
rnacentral:sRNA from 1 species